rnacentral:sRNA from 1 species
AUGUACUGCUUGUACAUGUCGCUCCAAGUGCGCCGUCCAUCCCCAGCUGCCGACGGUUCGCUACGUUGUGUCGGCU